rnacentral:rRNA from 1 species
GACGAACGCUGGCGGCGUGCUUAAUACAUGCAAGUAGACCGCUGAAGAGAGGAGCUUGCUCUUCUUGGAUGAGUUGCGAACGGGUGAGUAACGCGUAGGUAACCUGCCUGGUAGCGGGGGAUAACUACUGGAAACGAUAGCUAAUACCGCAUAAUAGUAGAUGUUGCAUGACAUUUGCUUAAAAGGUGCAAUUGCAUCACUACCAGAUGGACCUGCGUUGUAUUAGCUAGUUGGUGAGGUAACGGCUCACCAAGGCAACGAUACAUAGCCGACCUGAGAGGGUGAUCGGCCACACUGGGACUGAGACACGGCCCAGACUCCUACGGGAGGCAGCAGUAGGGAAUCUUCGGCAAUGGACGGAAGUCUGACCGAGCAACGCCGCGUGAGUGAAGAAGGUUUUCGGAUCGUAAAGCUCUGUUGUAAGAGAAGAACGAGUGUGAGAGUGGAGAGUUCACACUGUGACGGUAUCUUACCAGAAGGGACGGCU